rnacentral:rRNA from 1 species
GUCUCUAGCCAUACUACCCUGACCCUCUUCAAUCUCUUCUGACCUCAGAAGCUAGGCAGAGUCAGGCCUGGAGAGUACUUGGAGGGGAGAGAGAAUGCUAUGAUCUAAAGAAG